rnacentral:tRNA from 1 species
CCCCACCUAGCUCAAUUGGAUAGAGCGCCAGACAUACAAUAUGAAGGUUGCGAGUUGAAGUCUCGCGGUGGGCU